UACGUAGGGAGCAAGCGUUGUCCGGAAUCAUUGGGCGUAAAGCGCGCGUAGGCGGCUCGAUCAGUCUGUUGUGAAAGUCAAAGGCUCAACCUUUGAAUGCCGAUGGAUACUGUCGAGCUAGAGUCCGGAAGAGGCGGGUGGAAUUCCUGGUGUAGCGGUGGAAUGCGCAGAUAUCAGGAGGAACACCGAUGGCGAAGGCAGCUCGCUGGGACGGUACUGACGCUGAGGCGCGAAAGCGUGGGGAGCGAACAGG
rnacentral:rRNA from 1 species